rnacentral:rRNA from 1 species
GUGGGGAAUAUUGGGCAAUGGGCGCAAGCCUGACCCAGCAACGCCGCGUGAAGGAAGAAGGCUUUCGGGUUGUAAACUUCUUUUACCAGGGACGAAACAAAUGACGGUACCUGGUGAAUAAGCCACGGCUAACUACGUGCCAGCAGCCGCGGUAAUACGUAGGUGGCGAGCGUUAUCCGGAUUUAUUGGGUGUAAAGGGCGUGUAGGCGGGACAGCAAGUCAGAUGUGAAAACCAGAGGCUCAACCUCUGGCCUGCAUUUGAAACUGUUGUUCUUGAGUGUCGGAGAGGUAAUCGGAAUUCCGUGUGUAGCGGUGAAAUGCGUAGAUAUACGGAGGAACACCAGUGGCGAAGGCGGAUUACUGGACGAUAACUGACGCUGAGGCGCGAAAGCGUGGGGAGCAAACAGGAUUAGAAACCCGGGUAUCC